ensembl:lncRNA
AGGCCGGGCGCUGCCGCGGUCUCGCAGGGAGAGGCGAGCGGAGAGGCGAGAUGGCGAUUUUGCCGCGGCUGCUGCCGCUUCUGCUUCUCCUCCUCGCCGCCUCUUCGGCCGCCCUUCUGGCGACCAGCGCCCAUUCUUCCUGCUCCGGGCCUCUGGCCAUACCGUGCAUUCCACGUUCAUGUUCGCGGCCGCUUUCGCUCCGCUCUGUGGGCUUGCGAGUCCGCGCACCCGCACGCGGCGCCUGGCGCACCCGCUUCGGCGGACGGAGCUGGCCCGACUCCUCGCCUUGGUGUUCCCCUCCCGCAGCGGGGGAUCGGGGGCACCGAGAACCGGAGCGCAGGGGACCCUCAGGCCUCCGGGGCCCCACACCGGCUCCGCACACGCCAGCGUAGCGCCCCCGAAACGCGCCUGGCCUCCAGCUCAGCGCUGAGCAGAGGGCGGCCUCUAACCCGGACUUGGACACUUGUAAACCUUGGAGCAGCAUUGUAUGUCCUGUUUCACGAACGACUGUUGCUGACUCAUAGGGAGAGUUCCCGGGACUCCUGUCCACGGCCAGCAAACCUUUCAGUGGGCUCCCCGCAGAGCCGAGGGCAGCCACAGACCAGGGGUCACAGGCUCUUGUGUGGUCACCCACCCAGGGACCUUAAAACCAAGGUCCCCUUGGACUCCAGGCCGGGCAAAGGUCAGUCACUAAUGCACACUGGGAUGCCCCUGGCCCCCGCUGAGCCUGGCGGCCCUCCAGCUCAUCUGACUGGGCUUGAGUGUCCUCCCGUGGCCGGAAAAGCCCCAUCCCACAGUCUGCCAUUCCGCAACAUGUGCGCAGUUGCAUGUUCUCCAUCCAGGGUCCCCACCUUGGAUGCCCUGCUGAGUAGGAGACUGCCACUCACCAGCACCAAGAGGCCUUUGGGUGCCCCUCAACUUGGGGAACCAAAGUCAAGGUUUCUGGCUCAGUUUCCCCCCAGGACAAGGGGCCACCUUCACAUGCAGCUGAGAGCGCCCUGCGGGCCCCUGCCCGCUGCCCACCAAGCUGCCUGCAGUUGA